rnacentral:rRNA from 1 species
AUUGAACGCUGGCGGCAGGCCUAACACAUGCAAGUCGAGCGGAUGAAGGGAGCUUGCUCCUGGAUUCAGCGGCGGACGGGUGAGUAAUGCCUAGGAAUCUGCCUGGUAGUGGGGGAUAACGUCCGAAAACGGGCGCUAAUACCGCAUACGUCCUGAGGGAGAAAGUGGGGGAUCUUCGGACCUCACGCUAUCAGAUGAGCCUAGGUCGGAUUAGCUAGUUGGUGGGGUAAGGGCCUACCAAGGCGACGAUCCGUAACUGGUCUGAGAGGAUGAUCAGUCACACUGGAACUGAGACACGGUCCAGACUCCUACGGGAGGCAGCAGUGGGGAAUAUUGGACAAUGGGCGAAAGCCUGAUCCAGCCAUGCCGCGUGUGUGAAGAAGGUCUUCGGAUUGUAAAGCACUUUAAGUUGGGAGGAAGGGCAGUAAGUUAAUACCUUGCUGUUUUGACGUUACCAACAGAAUAAGCACCGGCUAACUUCGUG